rnacentral:lncRNA from 1 species
UGAGAUUGGUGUACCACGAGUAUCGUGAGUCCACCAAAUUUUAGGAAGAGAUCCAUCAGCCUCUCAACCAAUCGUGCAGAUGAUCCGGAGCAUCCAAGGAGUCGGCACACAUCGAUCGAAUGAGUUCGAUCAACAUCAGCCAUCAAAAGGAUGAAAUCACGAACUAGUAUUUGUGAGGAGCCGAUCAGAUGGGAGUUUUGUGUGGAUGAUCCACAUAGAUCAGGCACUAGUGUGGCUGCGAUGUGACGAUCAGAGCCCUCCGACGGUGAUCAGAUUGCGGUGAUCGAC